AUGCAACAAGAACCAGAGGAGCAAGUCACUUAUGAUAUUGAAGAGCAACGAUUGGAAGAUCAGGCAGAGCAAGUAAAUGACGGAGAUCAGGCUAUGUUCCUUUCUGCUUUUGCCAUGGGACAACAGUUAGCCGUGCCAACUCCUACAGUAAUCAUUCAUAUCAAUGGGAAGAAAGCUGUAGCAUUGUUGGAUUCUGGUAGUACUACCUCUUUCAUAAACCAAGAUUUUGCAGUUAAGGCAAACUGCAACAUGCUGCCUGUAAAACCCAGAAAGAUUUCAGUGGCUGGUGGGGGCACACUAACAUCUACUGCAGUUGUACCUCACUGUCAGUUUCAGAUUUCCAAAGUGACACUUUCCCACAGUUUCAGAACACUGUUCCUCCCAAGCCAUGAUGCAAUCCUAGGAUAUGAUUGGUUUACUGCUGUGAGCCUUGUGUCAUUUGAUAUUCCAGCCCAGCAAUUCAGUUUCACACAUGAGGGCAAGCAAACUGUUUCAACAGCAAUGUUCACUACUGCAGCUAGUGUGAAGGAAAUGCCUGCUAAGAAAGUGGAUAAAUUAUUAGACAAAGGACCUGAAGUGUUCCUGUGUCAAAUCCACAACAUACUCUUGGAUGCACCAGAGGAUUUUAAAACUCCACCAUAA
rnacentral:rRNA from 1 species